rnacentral:piRNA from 1 species
UCUGAAAUGUUGUAAUUGCCAAGGCGAU